GUCUACGGCCACGCCACCCUGAACGUGCCCGAUCCCGUCUGAUCUCGGAAGCUAAGCAGGGUCGGGCCUGGUUAGUGCUUGGAUGGGAGACCACCCAGGAAGACCAGGUGCUGUAGGCG
rnacentral:rRNA from 1 species